UUUCCUGAGCUGGACAUGUCUGCCUGCUGUGGGCAAGCAUGUCAAAUCACACCUACCAUAUUGGCUUCCUGUCCCCAGAACAUCCGAUUUUUGCAGCUAAUGUGUGGGGGGUGUCUCCUCCUGCCAAUCCCCACCCCCAGCAGCAUCAGGUCUGUGCUGUUCGGGGUUUUGUUAAGCCGUUUAGUAUUAAUUGAUUUUUUUUUCCAUUUUUUCUUUCUUUCCCUGGGCGGGUCAAUAGCUGGAUGCUCAAGAGCAGAGGAUCUAUCAACUGCAGACCAAGCAGAGGGAGAGGCAGGCAGACCUGGAGCAGAAAUGCAGCCAGAGCAGCAGCUCAGCCAGGACCUGGGGGCCAGCUACCAGCUACGGAAAGGAGCUUGGAGCAGCUUCUUCUAGGAGAAGACAGUGCAAUUUGGUGAUUCAUUGCAGGAGUCUGGUUGGUGCAUCCAUGCUGGACUAUAGAGGCCACAGAUCCCACGGUGGUUCCAGGAACACUCUGCCAGCGUCAGCCACCUGCAGCUCAUGGGCUCAGGAAGCAAAAAUGGGGUCUUGCAUUCCAUCAAUCACAGCCCCAAGCCUAAUUCCUGAGGAGGAACAGAGCUACAGCAGCUGGGACUGCAGUGAGAUCUUGUGAGAAAGACGGUGCAAAUGCCCCAGAUCUUCAGCAAGAUUAGGACCAUCUGGCUGAGUCAUACCUUGGAGACUGGGGACAGCUGCUAAACAUCUGGAAAAAAGAAGACAUUAUAUAAGGUUCCCGGGGUUAGCAGGAAGGGAUUGGGCUGCCUGACCUCCAGUACCCACGGUCAUGAAAAUUUCCCCUUACUCUGAAACCAGUAACUUCUCUGACUAAGAUAGCUUCAGACAAGUGUUUGGCUGAACUUGAAGACAUCAAGAGACAGACAUCCUCCUCUGGCAGUCAGUCCCUUCACAUCACUCCUACUGGUUUGGGUUUUUUUCUUCUCAUGACUGCUAUGUCAACAGAGCUAAUGAAGCUUUCUAUGCAGCAGCAA